rnacentral:rRNA from 1 species
ACCAUAAAUAAAUCAAAACUUUCAACAACGGAUCUCUUGGUUCUGGCAUCGAUGAAGAACGCAGCAAAAUGCGAUAAGUAAUGUGAAUUGCAGAAUUCAGUGAAUCAUCGAAUCUUUGAACGCACAUUGCGCCCGCCAGUAUUCUGGCGGGCAUGCC